rnacentral:rRNA from 1 species
UACGGGGGGGGGCAAGCGUUGUUCGGAAUUACUGGGCGUAAAGGGCUCGUAGGCGGCCAACUAAGUCAGACGUGAAAUCCCCAGGCUCAACCUGGGAACUGCGUCUGAUACUGGAUGGCUUGAAUCCGGGAGAGGGAUGCAGAAUUCCAGGUGUAGCGGUGAAAUGCGUAGAUAUCUGGAGGAAUACCGGUGGCGAAGGCGGCAUCCUGGACCGAGUGUACGCUGAGGAGCGAAAGCCAGGGGGAGCAAACGGG